GGCCAGACUCCUACGGGAGGCAGCAGUGGGGGAUAUUGCACAAUGGGGGAAACCCUGAUGCAGCGACGCCGCGUGAGUGAAGAAGUAUUUCGGUAUGUAAAGCUCUAUCAGCAGGGACGAAAAUGACGGUACCUGAGUAAGAAGCCCCGGCUAACUACGUGCCAGCAGCCGCGGUAAUACGUAGGGGGCAAGCGUUAUCCGGAUUUACUGGGUGUAAAGGGGGCGCAGACGGCGAUGCAAGCCAGGAGUGAAAGCCCGGGGCCCAACCCCGGGACUGCUCUUGGAACUGCGUGGCUGGAGUGCAGGAGGGGCAGGCGGAAUUCCUGGUGUAGCGGUGAAAUGCGUAGAUAUCAGGAGGAACACCGGUGGCGAAGGCGGCCUGCUGGACUGCAACUGACGUUGAGGCCCGAAAGCGUGGGGAGCAAACAGGAUUAGAUACCCCGGUA
rnacentral:rRNA from 1 species